UGGAAUUCAUAGUUAUAUUAGGGGCUAAAUCGGGGUAAGGAGCUAGCUAGGCAGAGGAGUAAUUCGGAAAAAGGGUAGGGUAAAACAGGGGGGGAAAUAGUUAGUUUACAGGGUAGGGGGGACAAAUACAGGAGGGAAAAUGGGUGGGGGUAAUAUCGAGAAUGUUGCUCGGAAGGUGGAAAGGAUCUUAUUGUCAUAGAAGAAGAGGAAUUGUAGUGCGAUUUAUAAUAUGUCGAGAGGGGGUGAGAAACUGGCUAAAGGUGACGAUCUGGGAGCUGGUUUGGGAGGGAUGACCACCCAGCUCUGGGACUUGAGACACGGGCCCAGAUUCAUAACGGGAGGGAGCAGUGGGGAGUUUUCCUCAGUGGGCGAAACCGGCGAUGGAGCAAUACUGGUUGCGGGAGGAAGGCUCUUGGGUUGUAAACCUCUUUUGUCGGGGAAGAACACAAUGAUGGUACGGUAGGAAUAAAAAUCGGCUAACUCCGUGCGAGCCGCCGCGGUAAUACGGAGGAUUCAAGCGUUAUCGGGAAUGAUCUCAGACUACACGCUCGCCAGAUACGCCUUUGAUUUUUACGAAAUGAUUUCAACAACGCCUGUGCGCGCACGAGAGCUCUUAUAUCCAGAUGAAGCCCGCCGCAUUGAGAAAUGUUCAGAAUCGUUUAUUAGGCUCCGACGGAUAUUUUGGCACGCAGAGAAGAGCGCGCAAAGGGGAAUANUCCCCGCAGUAUAUCGGAGGUAACAUCGCGGGG
rnacentral:rRNA from 1 species